UGGAUGGCGUGGGUCGGCAGSCUCCGUGCUCGUGCAUCGAACUGUCGGCGCCCCAUCCGCUUCAGUCUUGCCCCGAGCGCAGCUCCUGGCUCGCGGGUGCUUGAGGUAUCCUGUGUUGCUUACCCCAUAACGGAAUUCGAUGGUUUUGGUGUCCCCAUCCGCCUUGCGCCCCUUCGGGGUGCGGGGUGGACGCGGGGCGGGCUCCGUGUUCCCCGUGUGCCGAGCGCGUUGACGCUCGGCCGCUGUGGCCCAUGGGGUCUCGCCCGUGCUCUCGGAGGCGGAAUGCUGUGUGUGGGCGUGGGGUCUCRGCCUCUGCUCGUCCGAGCUACACGCAUUGUCCCUUGACGUGAACGACCGUCGCGCCCGUCUUGAUCGGUCGACCGURCCCCMGUCGCGGGGCUCCGGGAGGGCGGCUCAUGCGGGCGUCGGCGUCGUAAAGGAAUGC
rnacentral:misc_RNA from 1 species